UUCUUUUACUCCCCUCUGUCCUCUGAGAAACUUAUUAUUGAAGAUACAAUGUUUGUAUCUUCUUGAAUCCUCUUAUGCUGAUAUUUCGGGUUCGAGAAUGCAUGGGAUGAUAAGUGUGUUUCCAAACACCAGUUUGAGCAGAAGCAAAAAGAAAAAGAAAACAAUGAUGCACCAAAGCAACUGACAAAGAAGGAAUCAUUAUAGCUCAGAAAGAUGGAGGCAAAAACUUCAUUCUAGCCUAAAUUGUCAGAUUUCCAGUCAGGUAAAGAUGUAAGAUGACUUCUCUUAUUUCCAGAUUUACAACUCAGUAUAUGUGAUGGUGAGGGAUGCCUAUUCAAGCUCUAGGGUUGAUGUGAGUCUAUUAUUUCCUGCAAUAACAAGACUGCAUGGAGAACAAAAGACCAUCGAAGAGUAUAUGAUUAGCCCAUUUCCAUCACCACGAGUUUCAGUUUUCAGGCCAUUGCUCCUGACUGAUGAUGCUUGAGUAAUUAGCAUGAGCACUGCGUAUUCUUUGUUGCUGAGCCCACAAAUUACUCUCAGUGUAGAUUAAGCUGCAAAUGGUUGCAGAAUUCCUAGGUUGAAGUCUAUGUUUGAGAGAAAAAUGGAAUUGAGAAGAAGGCACGGUAAAGAAUCUUACAGUCUUUAGAUUGUAUAGUUGUUUAUACGGAAAAAAAUAUCAAAUUAUUAAAGCUGAACGUCAACGUCAAAGGCUAGAAAUCAACAGGAACACUUUUGUUAAAGGUUGCAGUCAUAUUUCAUUUGAUUUGCUG